rnacentral:rRNA from 1 species
GAUGAACGCUGGCGGCGUGCCUAAUACAUGCAAGUCGAACGAGUUCUGAUUAUUGAAAGGUGCUUGCAUCUUGAUUUUAAUUUUGAACGAGUGGCGGACGGGUGAGUAACACGUGGGUAACCUGCCCUUAAGUGGGGGAUAACAUUUGGAAACAGAUGCUAAUACCGCAUAAAUCCAAGAACCGCAUGGUUCUUGGCUGAAAGAUGGCGUAAGCUAUCGCUUUUGGAUGGACCCGCGGCGUAUUAGCUAGUUGGUGAGGUAACGGCUCACCAAGGCAAUGAUACGUAGCCGAACUGGGAGGUUGAUCGGCCACAUUGGGACUGAGACACGGCCCAAACUCCUACGGGAGGCAGCAGUAGGGAAUCUUCCACAAUGGACGCGAGUCUGAUGGAGCAACGCCGCGUGAGUGAAGAAGGCUUUCGGGUCGUAAAACUCUGUUGUUGGAGAAGAAUGGUCGGCAGAGUAACUGUUGUCGGCGUGACGGUAUCCAACCAGAAAGCCACGGCUAACUACGUGCCAGCAGCCGCGGUAAUACGUAGGUGGCAAGCGUUAUCCGGAUUUAUUGGGCGUAAAGCGAGCGCAGGCGGUUUUUUAAGUCUGAUGUGAAAGCCCUCGGCUUAACCGAGGAAGUGCAUCGGAAACUGGGAAACUUGAGUGCAGAAGAGGACAGUGGAACUCCAUGUGUAGCGGUGAAAUGCGUAGAUAUAUGGAAGAACACCAGUGGCGAAGGGCGGCUGUCUGGUCUGUAACUGACGCUGAGGGCUCGAAAGCAUGGGUAGCGAACAGGAUUAGAUACCCUGGUAGUCCAUGCCGUAAACGAUGAAUGCUAGGUGUUGGAGGGUUUCCGCCCUUCAGUGCCGCAGCUAACGCAUUAAGCAUUCCGCCUGGGGAGUACGACCGCAAGGUUGAAACUCAAAGGAAUUGACGGGGGCCCGCACAAGCGGUGGAGCAUGUGGUUUAAUUCGAAGCAACGCGAAGAACCUUACCAGGUCUUGACAUCUUUUGAUCACCUGAGAGAUCAGGUUUCCCCUUCGGGGGCAAAAUGACAGGUGGUGCAUGGUUGUCGUCAGCUCGUGUCGUGAGAUGUUGGGUUAAGUCCCGCAACGAGCGCAACCCUUAUGACUAGUUGCCAGCAUUUAGUUGGGCACUCUAGUAAGACUGCCGGUGACAAACCGGAGGAAGGUGGGGAUGACGUCAAAUCAUCAUGCCCCUUAUGACCUGGGCUACACACGUGCUACAAUGGAUGGUACAACGAGUUGCGAGACCGCGAGGUCAAGCUAAUCUCUUAAAGCCAUUCUCAGUUCGGACUGUAGGCUGCAACUCGCCUACACGAAGUCGGAAUCGCUAGUAAUCGCGGAUCAGCACGCCGCGGUGAAUACGUUCCCGGGCCUUGUACACACCGCCCGUCACACCAUGAGAGUUUGUAACACCCGAAGCCGGUGGCGUAACCCUUUUAGGGAGCGAGCCGUCUAAGGUGGGACAAAUGAUU